UAGGGAAUCUUCCGCAAUGGACGCAAGUCUGACGGAGCAACGCCGCGUGAGUGAAGAAGGUUUUCGGAUCGUAAAGCUCUGUUGCCAGGGAAGAAAGGCCAAGGGAGUCACUACCCUUGGAUUGACGGUACCUGAGAAGAAAGCCCCGGCUAACUACGUGCCAGCAGCCGCGGUAAUACGUAGGGGGCAAGCGUUGUCCGGAAUUAUUGGGCGUAAAGCGCGCGCAGGCGGUCGUUUAAGUUUGGUGUAUAAGCCCGGGGCUCAACCCCGGUUGGCACCGGAAACUGGACGACUUGAGUGCAGAAGAGGAGAGUGGAAUUCCACGUGUAGCGGUGAAAUGCGUAGAGAUGUGGAGGAACACCAGUGGCGAAGGCGACUCUCUGGACUGUAACUGACGCUGAGGCGCGAAAGCGUGGGGAGCAAACA
rnacentral:rRNA from 1 species